CUUUCCAUAAUAUGAGAAUCAAAUUAAUCCUAACUCGAGAAUCCGUUAUUUACCUCUCUCAAGACAGAACAUUAAGGGAAUUAAAUACUUCCAACUUUUCAAUGCACUGACACUUACGUGACGUAAUGAGUAAAUCCAAUGGGCCAUGAGAUUGUUUAAAAUCCCCCUUAAUGACGCUACUUGGUUAAGAUAGACUUCGGACUUGGGCCUGGGCGGUUUUUUAGGACGAAUUAUCACGCUGUUCUUUUUCAUUUCUUCGUUGAUCUCAUCCUCUAGUAGUUUGGAAUCUGAAGAAACUGAAAGUUGGCGAGUGACUGUGCAAUUUUGAUGAUCCGGAUUUACCCAUGAACCAUUUUUGCGAGAUGAACACGAACCUUCCUCUGAGCUGCCAUGAAGUCGUUCCCAACCUAAGAAAGGAAACAACAUUGAUAAUUAAUUUAUAAUACAAAAUGUGACAUAGGAAAACUAUUUUGUAAUUACUUAUUAUUGAGUACAAUAUGUGUAAUUAAUUGGUUAUAGAACUUUUAUUUCAAUAUAUAUAUAUAUGAUUUAUGGAGCAAAUAUUUAGAACGAAAUUUGAUUUAUAAUAAUAUGGAUACAAUUAUGAUUGUAUAAUAAAACUAAUGGAGUAAAUAUGAAGAAUUAACGUAAUUUAAUUAAUAAAUAAAUUUAAUAAACUUAAAGUGGAAUAAGUAACGAAGUUAUCUUUUAGCUAAAUUAAAUUAAGUAUAAAAAUGUAUUGUAAUAACUCAUAUUUUAAACGCAUUUGACUCUGGCAAAAAUAUAACUGUCUCUACUCUAUGUA
rnacentral:lncRNA from 1 species